rnacentral:misc_RNA from 1 species
GAGUUCAUAAACUGAAAAAGAAAACGAAGGUAGGAAAUGACUGAUAAUCCAACCCCCAGGAACAAUUCUGCCCAAAUUACCCAAUCAUUCCACACCCUCUUUAUUCAAUAUUUGUCCUUCCUUAUAUGCUGCUCUCCUCUAAAUUUACUGUAACUACCUCCAGCCACGUGUUGCUCCCUCCAUAAUUCUCUCAAACAAUCAUUAGCACCUGUGUUGCACUCUCCUUGUCUUUUUCUGCCCUCUUCCUUCUAGAAUAAACUUUGAAUGACCUUGGGCCUGUGGAAACAAUAGCACUAGG